rnacentral:lncRNA from 1 species
AUAGAUUUUACAUGCUGCUUAACAAACAUAUCUAUAAAAAAUUAUUAUAUAUAAAUUAAUUUUUUAAUAAUAAUUAAUAUUUAAAAUAUAUUAAUUUUUAAUAAAAAAUAUUUUAUUUUUUUAUUUGAUCUCGGACCUAAAAAAAUAUCAGGAUGCAGGAGAUAGAGAAGACAAUAGGGUGGGCAUCCCAUUACCUACACCCGCC